rnacentral:rRNA from 1 species
ACGUAGGUGGCAAGCGUUGUCCGGAAUUACUGGGUGUAAAGGGCGUGUAGGCGGGGAUAUAAGUCAGAUGUGAAAUUCCAUGGCUCAACUGUGGGGCUGCAUCUGAAACUAUAUUUCUUGAGUGAUGGAGAGGAAAGCGGAAUUCCUAGUGUAGCGGUGAAAUGCGUAGAUAUUAGGAGGAACACCAGUGGCGAAGGCGGCUUUCUGGACAUUAACUGACGCUGAGGCGCGAAAGCGUGGGGAGCAAACAGGAUUAGAUACCCUGGUAGUCCACGCUGUAAACGAUGGAUACUAGGUGUAGGAGGUAUCGACCCCUUCUGUGCCGGAGUUAACACAAUAAGUAUCCCACCUGGGGAGUACGGCCGCAAGGUUG